UACGGGGGGAGCAAGCGUUGUUCGGAUUUACUGGGCGUAAAGGGCGCGUAGGCGGCCACCGCAAGUCGACUGUGAAAUCUCCGGGCUUAACCCGGAAAGGUCAGCCGAUACUGCGGGGCUAGAGUGCAGAAGGGGCAACUGGAAUUCUCGGUGUAGCGGUGAAAUGCGUAGAGAUGUGGAGGAACACCGAUGGCGAAGGCAGCCCCCUGGGCCAAUACUGACGCUCAUGCACGAAAGCGUGGGGAGCAAACAGG
rnacentral:rRNA from 1 species